rnacentral:lncRNA from 1 species
GGACACUUUGGGGACGCUUUGGGGACAUUUGGGGACAUUUGGGGUCACCUCGGGGACAUGGGGGUGUUGAGGGGACACGGGGGUGUUGAGGGGUUGGGGAGGUGGAGGGAGGAUGGCUCGGUGUGGACGUGCUCAUGGAGGUCCACCAUGGUUCUCUGUGGUCAUUGGGACACUUGGGGACACUUGGGGACAUUUGGGGACAUUUGGGGACACAGGGUGGAAAAAUGUCACCUGGGCGUGGAACUACUCAUGGAGGUCCACCACGUUGUCAUGGGGCUUGUUGGCUUCUCCAUGGCCACGGGGACUCUUGGGGGCUUCUCUGUGGUCAUGGGGACACUUGGGGACAUUUGGGGAUAUUUGGGGACUUUUGGGGACAUUUCGGGACAUGGGGGUGUUGAGGGGACACGGGGGUGUUGAGGGGUUGUGGAGGCGGAGGGGUGGUGGCUUGGUGUGGACGUGCUCAUGGAGGUCCACCAUGGUUCUCCGUGGUCAUGGGGACUCUUGGGGACAUUUGGGGACAUUUGGGGACAUUUGGGGACAUUUGGGGACAUUAGAUCACGUGUCCCCCCCCAGCUGUGGCGCCAGGGGAAGGGUGACUUCUUCCUGGGCUGCCUGCUGA